ensembl:lncRNA
GUGUGUGUGUCUUUUUGGCUACAUGUAGAGUUUGUGUGACAGUAUCUCUGUCGUUAUCACCAAUGUGUGUUUAGUCAAACAAGAGACAGGGUGAUGCUGUGUUUUGCAUCUGCGCCUAUUUCCAAAAGCUCCCAGGCGAGGAGUAGGUCCUCAUGAUCAAAAGUAGUGUUUGUUUUUUUCUUCCAGACCCCGAGAGGGAGAAACGCCGUGUCCCUGCAGAGCGCAGGCGGGCAAACUGCCUCACACUGAUCACAUCUCCUGAGAGAAACGCUUCCUGUGUAUGUAUAGUGAGUAUGUGCUGCUGUUUCAUUGUUCUCUUCCCCUCUCAUUCCUACCCUCCCUCUUCGCUCUUUUCAGGUGCCACCGGCUCUCGACCGUGAGCUGACACUGAUGUGUGCUGUCACCUCUGCUGCACCUGGAGGUGGGACUGAAACGUAUUCGCACAGGACGGGAAAUCUCAGGCCUUUCGCAUGAACAUGAUCUCCUCCAGGCCACGGCCCGCGUCUUGUUAAAGCGGCACGGACCCGGCGUGGAUUGAGUUUAAAAGUAAUAAAGAAGCGGACCUGCUGGC